rnacentral:rRNA from 1 species
AAUUACGAGCCAAGCUUAAAACCCAAAGGACUUGACGGUGUCCUAUCCACCUAGAGGAGCCUGUUCUAUAAUCGAUACUCCCCGCUACACCUCACCAUUUCUUGUUUAUCAGCCUGUAUACCUCCGUCGCAAGCUUACCCUAUGAAUGACUUACAGUAAGCCCAACCAGGUCUUUCCACCAAUACGUCAGGUCAAGGUGCAGCUUAUGAAAUGGUAAGCAAUGGGCUACAAUUUCUAACUUAGAACAUACCAAACAUCUGUAUGAAACACAGCUAUUUUGGCGGAUUUAGUAGUAAAAAGAGAAUAGCAUGUUCUUUUUAAUCGGCACUGGGACGUGU